UACAGAGGGGGCGAGCGUUGUUCGGACUUACUGGGCGUCACGGGCGCGUAGGCGGCCCUCUAAGUCGAACGUGAAAUCCCCGGGCUCAACCCGGGAACUGCGUCCGAUACUGGAGGGCUCGAAUCCGGGAGAGGGAUGUGGAAUUCCAGGUGUAGCGGUGAAAUGCGUAGAUAUCUGGAGGAACACCGGUGGCGAAGGCGGCAUCCUGGACCGGUAUUGACGCUGAGGCGCGAAAGCCAGGGGAGCAAACGGG
rnacentral:rRNA from 1 species